rnacentral:sRNA from 1 species
UGGCUGUUGUUGCGCCCCGACAUUGUGGC